rnacentral:tRNA from 1 species
GCCCGGGUGGCUCAGUCGGUUGAGCGUCAGACUUCGGCUCAGGUUUGUGGGUUCGAGCCCCUUGUAGGGCU